rnacentral:tRNA from 1 species
UGGGGUAUAGCUCAGGGGUAGAGCACUCACCUAGCAUGUGUGAGUCCCCAGGUUCAAUUCCUAGUACUACAA